CCCUAUAACGUAAAUAAGCAACAAAAACAGAGAUACUCGGAAAAGGAGGCUCCGGCGAGAGGGUCGGAAGGUUUCAAAAGGGUGGUUGCCUCCUCUCUUGCCACCACAUCAUCCGCUUUCGGAUCAUGUGGAGCCCAUGACUUCGUUCCCCAUUCAAUCAACAACCCUUUAACACGAAGAAGAAAAAUGCCAAAACAGUCCCAUCUCUCACACACACCCACACUUUCUCUCUCUAUAUAUAUCUAUCUAUCUUUCUAUACAUCUGAAUCUCUGUAGGCGAUGAAGAUCUUGUUCUGCAUAUAAUUAUAUUUCCGAGCAUAAUAAUGAUAAGUUACCGGAUGUUGUGUGAAAGUGGGCCCGUAUCUUGGCGGGGCAACACGGGUUGUGAUGCAGCCAUGCCGGAGCCCCACCCACUUUAUCCGGUUUCAUAUCUGCAGAUCUGAGCCAAAUAAACACUCGAAGUUUUAUUUUCACUCAGACGAAAUGAGGCUAUUUCAGAGGAGAUGGUUUUCAAGGGUGGUUGCCCUCCUCUUUCAAACUUCGAUUUUGACUUUCUUUAAGUCAAACAUCGUUCUUUGAAGCCUAUGAUUUUCUUUAAAAAUCAACAACCCGUUUUCUUUUAACGGAACCUUCAGUCUGCUGUUGAUGAUGAUCAUAUUGUUAUUAUUACUAGGGGGGGGGGGGGGGGUGGGUUGUUUGGGAUUCCUUCUCAAAAACAACUUAUUAACGCUAUGUAAGUUAUAAGUUCUUCCAAAAUAAGCUAACCUAGUUAUGUACCCAACAGACUAUUGAUUUAAGAGGCUAUGAUGAUGAAUUUCAAUGCGUCUGAGUGGGAUCGAGCAAAGAUGAGAUUAUCCGCAUCUUGGCAGGGCAAUCCGGAUGGUGAUGUGGUUUCACAUGGCAACCGGUAAGUAUGCAGCCAUGGCGGAUUUAUCCUCUCUGUUCGAUUGUUUAUGGAUCUGAGCCUCAAAUUGAAUUAUUCCGUUUUUUUGUACUUGUUCUGGACAAACUUUUGAUCAAAAAUAACUUGGUUUGACUGUUUUUUAUGCUGUGUUUUCACUUGGGGUUUAGGAAUUUUGGUAGUCUGAUUUGGUAUGGCAUGUAUUUUAUUAUAUUAUAUUAUAUUAUACUCUUAUACAAUUUGCAACAUAAAACCGGUUCCAAGUGUUCAGUUGGUUAUAAUAACGGUUCACAAAACUAUUCAACGUAUUAGUCCACCGGUAUUCAAUGUAUUAAAUGUUUUUUUUAAUGGAUGCGGUGCUUAACCAAAAUUAAGGGUCGCAACCCUUCGCCGGAAUAAAGUCAAUCUCAACGGUUGCGCCGUUUCUUUUUUUAAAUCAGCGCUUCACCAAAAUUAAGGGUCGCAACCCUUCAACGAAAUAUUAAGUAUAAAUUCCGGAUGAACAAAUGUAACUGAUGGUUUGGUUCAUUCAAUGUUUGAUGAUUGCUGUGUUUCAUGAUUCUUGGUCUUAUAGUUGAUAUCGGAUAUUCGGAUGGUGAGGAAUUCCUGAUGAUUUGACUAACUUAAAUCAUCAUCAUCGAACACCCUGCGAUUUUCUGCAACUCUUCAUCCUUCAAUGGCCAUAUCAAUUAAAUGGUUCUUAUAGAUAAGAGAGAGAUAGAGAUAGAGAGAGAGAGAGAGAGAGAGAGAGAGAGAGCGAGAGGUGGAGAGGAAGGCGGCAACCGGCUUACAACAGUGGCACCCUCGUCGGGUUAGAUUUCGCUUCCAAUCAAGUAUCUAAUACCUCCGGGUUUUUGUUUUUGUUUUUCUUUCUUGCUAUGGACCACCCAAUCCGAAUUAUCUUAAUUCCACGCCUUUGAGCUGUAAUUAUCUUAAUUAUAAUUAGGCUAAUUGAUAUGUCCGACUUGCUCAUAUGGAACAGAAUCUACUGAACACGUCCUUCACAAAGGAAAUCUGAAAUUGUAUUGGUAUGGUCUGGGGGCAAUGUCUCUUGAUGCACGUUGAUCAAGUGGUGUGUAAAUUGUGUUGAUUGUCUUCGGUGAUUCUUCAGAUGGAUAAUGUCUGUUUUGGUCUGUAGGUUGAUGCAAUUUGUUUGUUUCAUUGGGUUGGGAGGUAUUUUGUAUUUUGUUUCUUGUGUUGUUCUUUUUUUGUAUGCCUAGCUACCUUUAUUUAUAUGUAUUUGCAGCUGGUUUUUUUAAACUAGACUUCUAAAUGAUGUAAAUACCGUCA